rnacentral:rRNA from 1 species
UCCAUGCCGUAAACGGUGUAUACUAGAUGUGGGGGGAUUAAGCCCCCUCCGUGUCCAAGCUAACGCGAUAAGUAUACCGCCUGGGGACUACGGCCGCAAGGCUAAAACUCAAAGGAAUUGACGGGGACCCGCACAAGCGGUGGAGCAUGUGGCUUAAUUCGAGACAACGCGAAGAACCUUACCUGGGUUUGACAUGUUUAGGACCGCUCUAGAGAUAGAGCUUUCUUUCGAGA